AAAGUACUCCCUCCAUCCCAAAAUUCUUGUCUUAGAUUUGUCUAGAUACGGAUGUAUCAAGUCACAUUUUAGUAUUAGAUACAUCCGUAUCUNGUAUCAAGUCACAUUUUAGUAUUAGAUACAUCUGUAUCUAGACAAAUCUAAGACAAGAAAUUUGGGACAGAGGGAGUAGUUG
rnacentral:pre_miRNA from 1 species